GACGAACGCUGGCGGCGUGCUUAACACAUGCAAGUCGAACGGAAAGGCCCCUUUGGGGGUACUCGAGUGGCGAACGGGUGAGUAACAUGUGAGUAACCUGCCCUUGACUUCGGGAUAACUUCAGGAAACUGGGGCUAAUACCGGAUAGGAAUCCUUGCUGCAUGGUGGGGGUUGGAAAGCUUCGGCGGUUUUGGAUGGACUCGCGGCUUAUCAGCUUGUUGGUGGGGUAGUGGCUUACCAAGGCUUUGACGGGUAGCCGGCCUGAGAGGGCGACCGGCCACAUGGGGACUGAGAUACGGCCCAGACUCCUACGGGAGGCAGCAGUGGGGAAUAUUGCACAAUGGGCGGAAGCCUGAUGCAGCAACGCCGCGUGCGGGAUGACGGCCUUCGGGUUGUAAACCGCUUUCAGCAGGGGCGAAGCUUGUGGUGACGGUACCUGCAGAAGAAGCACCGGCUAACUACGUG
rnacentral:rRNA from 1 species